CAGGUGUUCCCCUAAAAAAAUUAAACAAAAUAUCUUUCGGUUGUUUUUGUCGUCAAGAAAUUAAACCUAAAAAAGAUUGAAAAUCCCUUUGUAUAUCCGAUUCUUUUCUCCUCCCUCCUAUCAGAUCCUGGCUAUGGCGGUGAAGAUGAUAUUCACUCGAUUAUUUUGUCGGCUUCUCAUCGUCGCUGCUCAUGUGAUACAACUUCGGUACCACCUCACUCCUCUUUCUUUUUCUUUUUCGUUAUAAACUCUCCCUUUAAAUUGGUUGAUCUUCGUAGUUGAUGCCCUCGAUGUCCAGGGCUUCUAUUGGGAAGCAUCAAGGUUAUUCGGAUUUUAUCUAUGGUGGCAUGGAUCAAAUUCACUAAUUCAAACUUUAAUCUUUCUCCCUUUACAUUUGACAAAACGAGAAGCUAAUUGAACUCGUAUGUUGAAAAUAACGAAGAAAGGGUUCACUAGAGAUAUGCUCGGAUGCUCAUAACUCAAAUCGGCUUUCUACCUGCCACUAAUAUCACGACAUUGGGUUUUCCAAAUCUUUGAAUCAAUUGAGAUUUCUGCUUGAAGAGAUCGACUUGAAUAGAAUUAUUAAUAGCUUGAAUCAAAAAUGUCAGUUACAUAACUUGGGUCAUAUGAGUAGUUUUAUUUUAAUUUUUCUGCUUUAGUUCACUGAAUUUGUUUGACUGUUGUGGUAUAUAAUUUUUCUAUGUUAUAGGUUUAAGAGUUGAAUUGAAUUAUAUACUGUUAUAAAGUUGAUGAUUUAUACAUGGAUCCGUCUCCAAAUAUUAAAUCUGGUAUGUGGGACAGCAGGACCUCUGUUGGUUGUUGUUGGAUGCUUAGUUUUCCCCUUCAUAUGGAGUGUGCCUGUGGUGAUGUGGUUUAGGUGGUUACGUUACUGCUGCUUUAGGGGAAUACUGGGUGUUUCCAGCAAGGUCAGGGGCAAAACUAGCAUAACCUGCAUACCCUGAGUGCAUGAGGUUGGUUCUAGACUGUUGUAGUUUCUAGAUGAUGCUAAUGAGCCAUCUGCUGAUUCGAUCUAUCAUGUUGAAGUUUUCUUGGUUGUCUGUAAUUUUCUAGCUGAGCUAUGAGCUUUUCUGGUGAGCUUAUAGAAACAAAAUUCUCUAUUGUUGUUACAUGUAGCUGGGGAGUCACAGUUUGGAGGAUAAACUUUGUGUUAACUCUGCCACCAUUGAAAACAAUAUUGUUCCUAUGAAUCCAUAAAGCCCAAAUCACAACAACAAACUCCAUGGCUCUUUGACUCUCCUUUACAUCCUCUCUCCAGAAGAAAUUGAGGAAAUUCUUGACCCACUCUUGCAGACUAAUAGUCAUUACAAUAUCCACUUUAAUGCCAAGUGAACAGGCCCUCUAUAUCAUGCCAGCAAUCCAGCAAUCUCUAAAUAUAUGUUCUUCAGUUUCUUCAUCCAUCUUACAAAUUGGACACAUCGCAUCUACCAGAAUUCCCCUUUUCCUCAUUCUCUUUCGAAGAGGAAGAGACUUCUGCAAUAUUUCAGCAAUUGAUGUAACUACUUCUUGUAUAUCCUUUUUUCUUGGUUAAGAGACACAAUUGAGAUGUUAGCUUGUUGAUAUGUGUUGUAUUGGAUAUGCUGUUAUUCAAAAACUGAAAGUAUAUGGUCUUUCAUUUCCGCAACCUAAUAGAUUUUCGCAAAACAUAACGUCUAUUUUGCACAUUUCAGUAGUCGCAGUCUUAAUUAAUUACUAUGUUCUAAUUGUCCAUUAUACAUUAUGUCAUUUGGUUUAUACAUGGUUCUCUUUAAUUUUGGGGUCAUUUGGUUUUAAGAAUUGAAAGUAUUACAGGAUAAAUCGGUGAUCACAUGCAUAUUGAACAAUGCUGUAACUGAGCGUAUCAUAGUUGAGGAAACUUUAGUGGUGUAGAUGGAGCUGUCCUUUAAUUAUGCAUGUAUCUGAUGUAUCUGUUCAGUUUCAAGAGUCUUCAAAUGACUGAUAUAUGCCACGCAAGUGAUUAACCGUGUUUCAAGAGUCUACAACUAAUAAUACUUGGAACAAUUGUUCUCAUGUUUAGGAGUUAUCGGACUUGGCAAGCCAACAACAAAGGAUCUCGAAAGUCUCUAAGAUGGAAAGAAAUUAUAUGUUCUCGCAAACCGGAAAUGCUUGAAUGUGGCUAUUACGUCAUGAAGUACAUGUAUCAAAUAGUUUUACUUGGAUUACAAAGUAUUAGUAACGUGGAAGAGAUAUUUUCUCCAAACCCCUACACACAGGAGGAGAUCAAUGAUGUUCGAGAAAAAUGGAGUAGAUAUUUUAUUAGUAGUUGUUUGUAGUCAUUUUCUAGUUUUCAGAGAUAGAAAUUAAACUAUAACAAAUCUUAGGUUAUUUUUUGGAAUACAAUUAUUUACAAUUGUACGUUGAACCAACUUUCUUGUUUGAAUUGAUACAAAAAUAUUUUCGCAA